UCCAAUUUGCACAUCUCCAUGACCCCCUCGCUCUUCUCUCCCUUUUCCCCACCUCGGCCGAGCCCCGCAGAGACCACAGCACCGGCGAUUUGGCCGCCCGAGCUGCUGUCGGCCAUGAGGAAGAUGUUGGAACUGAGGCUCUCUUGAUCACACACCGGCUCUCACACUACUAGCGCUUGCACGUUAUUUGGCUCUGGAUGAGAAACACAAUCACACACACAAAAGUUGCAGCACUGCACACCGGUG
rnacentral:lncRNA from 1 species